GAUGAACGCUGGCGGCGUGCCUAACACAUGCAAGUCGAGCGUGAACCCUGCGAAUGAAACUUCGGUCGAUUUUGCAGGGGGAAAGCGGCGGACGGGUGAGUAACGCGUAGGUAACCUGCCCCAUACUGAGGGAUAGCCUCGGGAAACCGGGAUUAAUACCUCAUAACACCGUAUAUUCGCAUGGAUGUGCGGUCAAAGAUUUAUCGGUAUGGGAUGGGCCUGCGUCUGAUUAGCUGGUUGGUGGGGUAACGGCCUACCAAGGCGACGAUCAGUAGCCGACCUGAGAGGGUGAUCGGCCACAUUGGAACUGAGACACGGUCCAAACUCCUACGGGAGGCAGCAGUGGGGAAUAUUGCACAAUGGGCGAAAGCCUGAUGCAGCAACGCCGCGUGAGCGAAGAAGGCCUUUGGGUCGUAAAGCUCUGUCAGGUAGGAAGAUAAUGACGGUACUACCCGAGGAAGCCCCGGCUAACUACGUGCCAGCAGCCGCGUAAUCAUACUCG
rnacentral:rRNA from 1 species